UGAUUUGCAUAACAGGCAGCUGUCCCCAACAAGGGAAUAAAGAGGCCUUGAGGGAACACAGACCAGCCUAGGACUCAGGAAGCAGCCACAGGCACCAUGACUUGGAAGGCCCUUCUCAUAAGCCUCCUGGCUCAUUACACAGGUUCUGUAGCCUCUUAUGUGCUGACUCAGCCAUCAUCAGUAUCGGUGACCCCAGGACAGACGGCCAGAAUCACCUGUGGAGGAAACAACAUUGGUAGUAAAUAUGUGCAGUGGUACCAGCAGAAGCCAGCACAGUCCCCGCUGCUUGUCAUCUAUGGUACUAGUAACCGGCCCUCAGGGAUCCCUGACAGAUUCUCUGGCUCCAAAUCUGGGAACACAGCCACCCUGACCGUCAGUGGGGCCCAGUCUGGAGACGAGGCUGACUAUUACUGUCAGGUGUGGGAUGGUAAUGCUGCUCACAGUGACACAGGCAGACAGGGAAGUGAGACAAAAACCUGCCACCAGCCUGGCACCAAAGGCCCUUCCUGCUUGCUCUGAUUAGCCUGACAGCAGAGAGCAUGCCACAUGCUGUGUAGGAAGUCUCCUCCCAUCUCUGUCUAGAUAGUCCUAAGAGAUUAGGGGAAGGCUCCUGUACCUCCCCAGGAUCAGUUGAUUCCAUGGGAACUUGAUCAACUCAUUCUUAUCAACUUGAUCCGCCAGGCCCAAAAGCCACAGCAAGUCAUCAGCCAUGCAUGUUAGUAUUAAGUAGAAUUUCACCGUGGCAGGGUCUUAUUUAUGGUUAAUUAGGGGAAGAACAGGGCAUGGUUAUAGUGUUGAAAAAUGUGUCCUGGCGAAUUUUAAGGCAGAUUUGUCAAGAAGAAUUUUGAUGAGUAUUCAUGUAACCAGUGUUGUACUGGGGAGGGUUGGUAUGCACUAGGCUUGGGGGAUUUUGCUGUGGGUGUUGAUUAGUAAACCUCUAUUUGA